rnacentral:rRNA from 1 species
UGGAAUUAGUUGUGUAGGGGUAAAAUCCGUAGAGAUAACUAGGAAUACCAAAAGCGAAGGCGAUCUUCUGGAACACUACUGACGCUGAGGCGCGAAAGCGUGGGGAGCAAACAGGAUUAGAUACCCUGGUAGUCCACGCAGUAAACGAUGAAUGUUAGUCGUUGGAUAGCAAGUCUAUUCAGUGAUGCAGUUAACACAUUAAACAUUCCGCCUGGGGAGUACGGUCGCAAGAUUAAAACUCAAAGGAAUAGACGGGGACCCGCACAAGUGGUGGAGCAUGUGGUUUAAUUCGAAGAUACGCGAAGAACCUUACCUAGCCUUGACAUUGAUAGAAUCUUCCAGAGAUGGAGGAGUGCCUUUAGGGGAACUUGAAAACAGGUGCUGCACGGCUGUCGUCAGCUCGUGUCGUGAGAUGUUGGGUUAAGUCCCGCAACGAGCGCAACCCUCGUCACUAGUUACUAACAGUUAGGCUGAGGACUCUAGUGAGACUGCCUUCGCAAGGAGGAGGAAGGUGAGGACGACGUCAAGUCAUCAUGGCCCUUACGGCUAGGGCAACACACGUGCUACAAUGGUUAGGACAGUGAGAAGCGAUACCGCGAGGUGGAGCCAAUCUAUAAACCUAAUCUCAGUUCGGAUUGUAGUCUGCAACUCGACUACAUGAAGCUGGAAUCACUAGUAAUCGUAGAUCAGCUAUGCUACGGUGAAUACGUUCCCGGGUCUUGUACUCACCGCCCGUCACACCAUGGGAGUUGAUUUCACCCGAAGCGGGGAAGCUAAACUGGCUACCCUCCACGGUGGAAUUAGCGACUGGGG